CAUAUGAAGUGCCGGCGAAUGCAACAUACUUCGGAACAACAAACUUGGGAGAUGUUUGGUACCACAAACAGGCGUAUCCGUUGUAUAUCCAUUAUACUGUCGAAACGACCAUGGCAGAUAUCUAUCUUACAUUGACUGAUGAUGGGAGCUGUUUACCUGUGUCUAUGACGGCUCACUUCAAUUCAUAUCAGUUUAACAGAACUGCAUCAUUCGACGACAUAACUAUCGGGAUCAAAGACCCAAGCAUAUGGGCGCUUCCAGACUAUUGCUAGGGCGUCACCUGCACAUUUUCUAGGGUC